rnacentral:hammerhead_ribozyme from 1 species
AUUCAGCUAACGAGUUUCAAAUAGAAUGAAACAUGUGUCCUGGAU